GACGAACGCUGGCGGCGUGCUUAACACAUGCAAGUCGAGCGGUAAGGCCCUUUCGGGGGUACACGAGCGGCGAACGGGUGAGUAACACGUGGGUGACCUGCCCUCAGCUCUGGGAUAAGCCUGGGAAACCGGGUCUAAUACCGGAUAUGACUCCAUGACGCAUGUUGUGGGGUGAAAGCCUUGUGCGGCUGAGGAUGGGCCCGCGGCCUAUCAGCUUGUUGGUGGGGUGAUGGCCUACCAAGGCGACGAUCCGUAGCUGGUCUGAGAGGAUGAUCAGCCACACUGGAACUGAGACACGGUCCAGACUCCUACGGGAGGCAGCAGUGGGAAUUUUGGACAAUGGGGCAACCCUGAUCCAGCCAUUCCGCGUGAGUGAAGAAGGCCUCGG
rnacentral:rRNA from 1 species